CUCACAUAUGAUGUCUUCCAAUGAGGAUCUUCUCAGAGUUAUAGUAAAGAAGGAGCAAUGCCAAGGCUAAAGCUCUCUGCCCUUCCACAAUUUCUUCCAGCUCUCUUUAUCCUUUUUGGCAGCUGACAAAGAUCGGAGAGGCUUGCCAGUCAAAGCUAUCAGUAGAGAAGGUGAUACAGAGUCAGAGCUCAGAGAGCCCUGCUUUCAUUUGUCCCAAGCUCCCCUCUCUGACAUGCACCCCCAGUCCCCUGAUCAUUUUCUCUUGGAAGAGAACUAGGGCCCCUUUCCUAGACUCAAUCCCCCCAUUGUAUGUAUGACUUUUUGCUUUACUAGUAGUAGAAAGACUACAUUGUUUUCUCUCUCAUCUUUAAACACUGAGAUGGAGCUAGCCUUGUGGGGAGAUCCUGGACAGCGGCCAAGACUUCGAGGGUUGAGAAAAGAAACAUCCAAACUGUUCUUUUAGAAUUCAGCCUACAGGAAAACAUGAAUUCAUGUGAGAGCUGGGCAGAGAUCUCCUUCCAAGAAUGUCCUGUAAAUACAGAUGAUGGAUACCAGUCAUUUGAAGUUUCUACCCAACCCCCUCCGAUCUCAUCACCUAAAUCCAGAAUGAGUGAAGUGGAUGUAUGUGGAGGUGAUAGAAGAAGAGAAAUGGACUACAUGUCAAAAUGACAAUUUGGAUUAAGUGAUUAAUAUAAUGAGAAGAACACGUGAUUAAUGAGGGUGUUUGUACUACUUAGUCAUACAAUGCAUUCAUUUUUCUAAUGUUUCAGGAAGAUCUUCUCUCCAGUCUAUCUGGAUUUCAGUGAUUUUUUAAAAGUACACUCAUUUAAUGAAUGUGGGAUUGAAAAACAACUCUAAAUGAUCUAUAGUUUGCUAUAUUACUAUUUGUAUAUGUAGAGAAAAGUUAUACUUGGUACCGGAACCCUAGUUUGGGAAUGGUAGACCUAAGGAGAAAGUCUGCUAUACAAGUUAAGUAGAACAUAUUUGGAAAAAAACUAAAUAACACUAGAAAGGUAAAGCACUGACUUAUUUAAAAUAUCUAUGGAUAUUAUAUUUUGAUAUUUGAUAAACAUAUAGAACAUGAUAAAUAAAUAAACAUAUCUAAAUAAAAGUGUGAAAUUC
rnacentral:lncRNA from 1 species